UGGGGAAUUUUGGACAAUGGGCGCAAGCCUGAUCCAGCCAUGCCGCGUGCGGGAAGAAGGCCUUCGGGUUGUAAACCGCUUUUGUCAGGGAAGAAAUCUUCUGAGUUAAUACCUCGGGAGGAUGACGGUACCUGAAGAAUAAGCACCGGCUAACUACGUGCCAGCAGCCGCGGUAAUACGUAGGGUGCAAGCGUUAAUCGGAAUUACUGGGCGUAAAGCGUGCGCAGGCGGUUUUGUAAGACAGAGGUGAAAUCCCCGGGCUCAACCUGGGAACUGCCUUUGUGACUGCAGGGGCUUGAGUGCGGCAGAGGGGAUGGAAUUCCGCGUGUAGCAGUGAAAUGCGUAGAUAUGCGGAGGAACACCGAUGGCGAAGGCAAUCCCCUGGGCCUGCACUGACGCUCAUGCACGAAAGCGUGGGGAGCAAAACAGGAUUAGAUAGCCCU
rnacentral:rRNA from 1 species